CAUCCCCCAUAUUUGUGUGUGUAUUAAUAUUCUAGUUUGCUUUUUAAUUUGCCUUUUAUAUAGAAUCAUGAAGACAAAGAAUGGAAGUUUGCUCGAGCAAAGUUAUGGCUUAGCUACUUUGAUGACAAAUGUACGUUACCUCCACCUUUCAACAUCAUUCCCUCACCAAAGACUAUCUGCUAUAUGAUUAGUAGCCUCAGUAAGUGGAUUUGCUCUCAUACAUCAAAAGGCAAGGUCAAACGGCAAAACAGUUUAAAGGAAUGGAGAAAUUUGAAACAGAAGAGAGAUGAAAACUAUCAAAAAGUGAUGUGCUGCCUAGUGCAUCGUUACUUGACUUCCAUGAGACAGAAGAUGCAAAGUACAGAUCAGGCAACUGUGGAAAAUCUAAACGAACUGCGCCAAGAUCUGUCAAAAUUCCGAAAUGAAAUAAGGGAUUUACUUGGCUUUCGGACUUCUAAAUAUGCUAUGUUUUAUCCAAGAAAUUAACCAUUUUCUAAAUCAUGGAGCAAAUAAUUUUCAAUAACAGAUCCAAAAGACUAUAUUGCAUAACUUGCAAUGAAAUUAAUGAGAUAUAUAUUGAAAUAAGGAAUUAUGUAAAAG
rnacentral:lncRNA from 1 species